GCACUUGCUGCUACAGAGCUGGAUGCAUUGCCCAUUCCCUGCGCAGACUUGAGUACUGAGCCGGUGUAGUAUUGCUGUCCAUCACCAAGGAAACGGAGGGCUGGGGAGAGACACUUUUAUUCCCCAGCUGCUUUCUGCUGCACAGGGGAACAUGAAGCGAUGCUGCCUGGGAAGCAGAGGAGUCCUCUCUCCAGGGCACUGAGCUGGGAUUUUCACGUUCUUUCACUGCCGUUGUUUCCGAGGUGUUGUGUGACCUUGGGAUGUCAUUGUGAAUUAUGUCAGUUCAUGCUGAAAGAGUGGAUUGAAAGUGACUCGCUCUGGAUUUAUCCAUUCCCAUCCUUUGUUUCAAGAGGAUUGAGUUAAAAACUUUUACUCCAAGGCUAAAGACCUACCAAAACUACCUUUAUUAUUUAUAGUUCUUAUGGCUGUCACAUCGCCAUCUCAAAGUCAUUGACCAAGACUCCGUUGAGCUAGGUAAUAUGCAUAAAGAACAAAAAAGGAUGUUUUGGCACUGAGAGCUUACAUUUGAGAAUAAAAGGAGACAAUAGAAUAAGAAGAACAGUACAAGGAAUGAGUGAAACAAUGCUGAUGAUGGAGCAGGGAGCCCAGCUCUCAUGAGGUGUCAGAGAGGAGUUCAGAGAUAGCCCCUGCCUGUGUGGACAGACCCAUGUCACAGCAGAUGGGCCUGAAUGACAGGCAGGGAGUGAUUUUAUCCACAGAGGCAGAGAAAGGAAGUAACAGGAACUGGAGGAAAAGAGGAAGGAACCUGUCCUAAUUAUGUGGAGUUUGACUUGAUAGCUGAAGAUCUAUGAGGCCAAGAUGUUAAUGUGAGCAGAGCAAGAGUCAAAUCUGGAGUAGAAAGAUUGACUUAUAAUUCACCUGUAUAGAAAUGGACAUCUGAGUUGUGUUUAUGAGUAUGAUUAGUCUCAGAGGAAGUUAGAAGGAGAAACUGGAAACACAGACCAAAGUUGGAGUAUCUGUAAUAGGGUCUGUCACUUGUAGGCCUCACAUUCUGCUCCUGUAACCCCUCUGCCCUCUCUGGAAGUGACUAGUCUGUUGGAGGUACUAAUGCCCUGACCCACGUAACACUAUUCAAGAGCAAAUUACUUCUGGACAUCAUCAUCACUACUCUGUACAGUAUUUAGGGAAUUAGCAACGAUUACUGGACAGUAUCUUGUUUGGGGAACCUCGCUGGAGUUGCCACAGAAAAAGCCAGCACUGACCUUCUGCAAUUCUCUGUUGUCUUUAACUGACCGGUGGACCUUUUGCCCUGUUCGACAGACAAAAAAUUGAAAUCCGUGUCUGAGUGGUUUUCUCUUCUAGAAGCAUGCAAGAAGAAUCCUAGCCUGCCCUACACUGCUAAGAAGAUCUUAAACUCAGGCAACAAUCUUAUGCUUUAAAGAAGUCUCAUGAAGAAGCCACAGGUUCAGCUCCAGAGCCAAAUAAUCCUGUUAUACUAAUGCAGAUAUUACAGCUUCCAUACACUCUCUCUAUGGUACUUUGCUCUCUAGUUCUCCCUUCCUCCUGUGCCAAACGAAGAACCAUAGGGUUAGAAGGGACCUCGAGUGGGUGUCUAGACUAUUUUCCUGUCUUGGUACCAAACAGAAGCCUAUCUGCAAGGCUAUCUGCAAGAAGAGGGUUUAAGGAAUAAAACAGUAAACACAGAACAGCAGAGCAAGUAUUGCAGAGAAAGAGAGAGAGCGUGAGCAGAUCCAGCAAAGGUGCAUUUAUUUAGAAGAACAUGAGACACGAACUUUCAGCAAAGCCUGUUUGAACAUGCAGGUGAGCACAUUUCAGCAUGAACAGGCUUAGAACGGAAGCCUGGUAUGGGUAGCAAAAGCAGCUCCUGAAUGUACUGUCUUCCCUGGUUAGGUUAUAUACAAAAAGACUGAAUGAGCUCACUAGCUUUAUAAUAGGUGGCCAUGGCCACACCCAGCAGUCUCCUCUACUAACCCUGGCAAGCACUGGCUCCUGGUGGGAAAACACACUAUGGAUGAGGAGGGGACAGGCAGGCUGGGGUAAGCAAAAGCUGCUUUUUCUCUCUCCUUACCAUGAACUUUGGGUUAGCUGAACCAUGCCAGGCAGAGGAAGGCUAUGGCAAGUGUCUAUUAGGAAGCUGCAACUGGGGAUGGAUGUUUGGCUCUGGUUUGAUGCCUUCAUUCACUCAGAGAUGAUGAGACCUCAUGGAGUUAUCUGCUGUCAUUGCCCAUUCCGUGCUGUUGCCCCAAAGGAACUGGAAACCAAUAAGUUGACCCUGUGACUCAAGAUAACCUGUCAUCCUUAAGGAAAGACCUGCUAAUUAUGUGGAUAAAGUUAGUGUUAAAGCUGCAAGAAAGCGCAAAUCUCUGAGGGAUCAGGAGCACUGAGAGACAAAAUCUGGACAAGUACAAUGCUAUGCCUCUAAUGGGAGAACCCUGUUGUGCCCUGCAUCCUCAUGAAAUCCUCCUAUCAGCAGCCAGAGCUUUUGUCUUUUGCUGUUUGCAGGUGUGACACUGCUGAACAGAUGUCCCAUAGCCAAUGUGCUGAUGCCAGAAAAAUUGAAACAGAAUGCAUUAAAGGAGGGAACAUAAAAUUUAGAAAGGUCUAAAUCAUCUCAUUGCUGGCUAACACUGUGUACGGCAAGACACACAGAGUGGAACUAGGACCCACGCUGCAACCAAGUGAGAUAACAUUCGUUGGCAGAAAAAUAUUUAAGAAGAACUGGAGAAAAGGCUAGGCUCAUUUUCCUUCUUUUUGUCAUAUAUGUAGUAGUUCUAUAAAUUCACAAUUUUAUGUAUAGAUAUUUCAGCUUUAUGUGCAUUCUCUUUGAAGGGUGAGCAUUAGGGAAGUAGAAAUCAAUCAGAGAAGUUAAUUUUAGACUUAAAAAUUCAAGUUCUUGUUAUAUAAAUUCCCAAGUGGAUAUCUCUUUCUUACAGUCAGGAAAUUAUGACAAAUGAAUUCAAGAAGGUAAGCUUAACGUCAGGACAAAAUAUAGGUGGUUAUAAAUCUUUGGAAAUUAUGCUGAGGUUUUCACACAGCUUGGGUCAGACUUUUUUUAGAGCGCUGUGCUUAGGAGAAUAAAAUCAUACGGCGUGUCUUGAAAAGGAACAGCAAAGUGUAAUUAGGCUUAUCUGAGAAUAAAAGGGAUAUGUAUAAAAGAUGUCAGUAGUCAAACAAAUAUAUUGUGUAGCAGUAUAUUAUUUGAUGAUUGAGUGGUUAAUUCUACAGGAGAAAUAUGAUUUUGAGGCCAACAAGGGAAUUAGACAGAUCUGCCCUACUGGAACAGAUCACAGG